rnacentral:rRNA from 1 species
UACGUAGGGUGCGAGCGUUGUCCGGAAUUACUGGGCGUAAAGAGCUCGUAGGUGGUUUGUCGCGUUGUUCGUGAAAACCGGGGGCUUAACCCUCGGCGUGCGGGCGAUACGGGCAGACUUGAGUACUGCAGGGGAGACUGGAAUUCCUGGUGUAGCGGUGGAAUGCGCAGAUAUCAGGAGGAACACCGGUGGCGAAGGCGGGUCUCUGGGCAGUAACUGACGCUGAGGCGCGAAAGCGUGGGGAGCAAACGGG